rnacentral:rRNA from 1 species
GUCCUAGCCUAACGAUGAACACUGGGUGUGGCCCUCACAGGGCCGUGCCGGAGCUAACGCGUUAAGUGUUCCGCCUGGGAGUACGGUCGCAAGGCUGAAACUCAAGGAAUUGACGGGCCCGCACAAGCGGUGGAGCAUGUGGUUCAAUUCGACGCAACGCGAAGAACCUUACCUGGGCUCGAAAUGUAGUUGACAGUCUCAGAGAUGAGAUGUUCCCGCAAGGGACGGCUGCAUAGGUGCUGCAUGGCUGUCGU